rnacentral:lncRNA from 1 species
UUAAUCUUUAGGAACAAAUAUAAAAUCUAGAUGUUCGAUGUUAAUAUUUUCUACAGUCUAAAUCUCAGGUCACUAAGGUUUAAAGGAGUAGGCUUUGGAGAAGAGCUGUACCAAUAAAAUCUUGCGGGUCCCAAGACCAUGUUGCACUCGUUUCACUCGGUAAGGCUUCCCUUAUGCCAUCCAUACCAAUAUCCUUCUCCAUUGUAGAUGUGUUUUUCUUAGAUGGUUUUUUUAUGAUAAACUACUAACGAUAUGGAUACGUUAAAAAUUAUUACUACAGCUGAAUGGCUUAAAUUUCCUUCACACAUCUCACUACGAGCUUCACUAGAAGAACGAACUUG